UACGGAGGGGGCUAGCGUUGCUCGGAAUUACUGGGCGUAAAGGGCGCGUAGGCGGAUACUUAAGUUAGAGGUGAAAGCCCAGGGCUCAACCCUGGAACAGCCUUUAAUACUGGGUAUCUUGAGUUCGGGAGAGGUGAGUGGAACUCCGAGUGUAGAGGUGAAAUUCGUAGAUAUUCGGAAGAACACCAGUGGCGAAGGCGACUCACUGGCCCGAUACUGACGCUGAGGCGCGAAAGCGUGGGGAGCAAACAGG
rnacentral:rRNA from 1 species